UACGGGGGGGGCAAGCGUUGUUCGGAAUUACUGGGCGUAAAGGGCUCGUAGGCGGCCAACUAAGUCAGACGUGAAAUCCCUCGGCUUAACCGGGGAACUGCGUCUGAUACUGGAUGGCUUGAGUUUGGGAGAGGGAUGCGGAAUUCCAGGUGUAGCGGUGAAAUGCGUAGAUAUCUGGAGGAACACCGGUGGCGAAGGCGGCAUCCUGGACCAACACUGACGCUGAGGAGCGAAAGCCAGGGGGAGCAAAGCGGG
rnacentral:rRNA from 1 species